CCAUAGCCCUUGUAAGGGAUUUGUGUUUCCUGAUCCGCAGCGAGCACCACCCCACAAGCCAGACAACAACAGAGGAACAAAGGCAAAAUCGGCGUGUUACAGUUAAAAUUCAUCAGAAUCCCUCGAAGAUGGAAAAAAGACCAUAAACUCACCCGACAUGAUGCCUGAAAUGAAGUUAGAUCCACCUGUUGAAGACCAAUAGGACUCCACAAUGUUCCUUUUCUCCCUCAGCAACAAUGGCCAAGAUCGAAAAUUCUUCAAAAGUCUCAAAAAUUCAAAAGACAAAUGUCUUAAAAGAGCCUUAGAGCAUACAACAAUAUUGUAUUAUAGCUGGAGACAUAUUAGUUUGAGAUUUUCUCCCUCCAUGCCUACUAUUUAAAACCCCUAGAACUCAAUGAUUUGACAAUGAUUUGAUUGCGCGUUACUUUCAAUUUGAAUAUUCAGAGGCAACCGAGUUUUGCCGAUUUUUGUUUAAAAAUCACUUCAUAUUGGGGUUGUAUAUAGUUAUCUUCAAUAUACUAUGACAAUAUUUCGCAGUUAAACCAAAUUAAACCACACUUUUAUUAAAUUUAUCCAUGUUUUUCAGUAUCCCAGCAUCACCCCCCCAUUCCCAGCAGUAGAGCACAGGUGGCCGAUAUGCGUUACUUUUGCGCACAAUCUGGUGUUUUUCGCGUAAAUAAGUACAACUUUGACCAUAGGGCCAUUUGUAAAAUGUUCAGUUCAAAACUAUUAUUUGAAAGAAAAGCAGAUAAAUGAGUGGAUGGGGUGGGCGUGGCAAAAGGCCGUAGCCAUUUGGCAUCCCUGUGCUCCAUACAGCUACAAGGAGACUGCUCCACAGCCACCAAAGAUCCCAACACUUUACAUUAGAAAGAAAUAAAUACAUUAAAUGUUAAUAUAAAAUAGCAACAUUAAUUCUUGUCACCAAUCAUAAGUUGAAAAUUUAAAUGUUAUUGAGUUUUUCCAAUAUCCUGACUACUAAUAAAUUCCAAUGAGAAAAUGCAUUUUUUAUAAUUUCAACGUACAUUUUUAUUUUUGCAAAAGCACAUAUGCAACCAUUUAUCUUAAAACUGAAUAAAAAAGUUUUAUUGGCUUAUGCCUGUCAAUUAGAAGUUGAAAGAACAACUCAGUACUGUGUACACUUGAGAAACUUGGCUCACAACCAUUUGAAACUAUAGGCCAUUCCUUUCAAAGUAUAAACUUAGUUGGGGCUACAGCCUAUUUGAUGACAAUUUCUCUUAGUCUUUCACCAGUGACUGUUGAUCAUUUUAAGUAGGAUGUAUGGAAUUGUAAUGUAUUAUUAUAAGACCAUAACAACUGCUUCAUUGUCAAUUUUUGCUGUUUGAGCAAGUACAAUGAGGUUUCAACAAUAUUUUCUUAAAAUGUAGCUUUUUUCUUCUCUUAAACUAUAUCUAUAUCAAUAGUAGGUAUUAGCCUGCUAAAUUUAUUUUCCAGCAUAUUAAAGAAACGUUAACACGUUAAAACAUUAUUUUCAGUAUUUUGCAACGCGCAAUGUAAAAUGUACCCAGAAAUGUAAAACGUGGGCUGCUCAAUAAAAACAUGUGAGGUAAUUUGUGAA